GAGGGAGUGGCCCAGUCCGUAGAGCGCAACCUUGCCAAGGUUGAGGUCGCGAGUUCGAGUCUCGUUACCCGCUCCA
rnacentral:tRNA from 1 species